rnacentral:rRNA from 1 species
CUACGUGCCAGCAGCCGCGGUAAUACGGAAGGUCCGGGCGUUAUCCGGAUUUAUUGGGUUUAAAGGGAGUGUAGGCGGUCUGUUAAGCGUGUUGUGAAAUUUAGGUGCUCAACAUUUAACUUGCAGCGCGAACUGUCAGACUUGAGUACACGCAGCGCAGGCGGAAUUCAUGGUGUAGCGGUGAAAUGCUUAGAUAUCAUGAGGAACUCCGAUCGCGAAGGCAGCCUGCGGGAGUGUUACUGACGCUUAAGCUCGAAGGUGCGGGUAUCGAACAGGAUUAGAUACCCUGGUAGUCCGCACAGUAAACGAUGGAUGCCCGCCGUUGGCGCCCUGCGCCUGCGGCCAAGCGAAAGCAUUAAGCAUCCCACCUGGGGAGUACGCCGGCAACGGUGAAACUCAAAGGAAUUGACGGGGGCCCGCACAAGCGGAGGAACAUGUGGUUUAAUUCGAUGAUACGCGAGGAACCUUACCCGGGCUUGAAUUGCAGUCGCUGCCCACAGAGACGUGGGCUUCC